rnacentral:rRNA from 1 species
UGGGGAAUUUUGGACAAUGGGCGCAAGCCUGAUCCAGCCAUGCUGCGUGCGGGAAGAAGGCCUUCGGGUUGUAAACCGCUUUUGUCAGGGAAGAAAUCUUCUGAGUUAAUACCUCGGGAGGAUGACGGUACCUGAAGAAUAAGCACCGGCUAACUACGUGCCAGCAGCCGCGGUAAUACGUAGGGUGCAAGCGUUAAUCGGAAUUACUGGGCGUAAAGCGUGCGCAGGCGGUUUUGUAAGACAGAGGUGAAAUCCCCGGGCUCAACCUGGGAACUGCCUUUGUGACUGCAAGGCUUGAGUGCGGCAGAGGGGGAAGGAAUUCCGCGUGUAGCAGUGAAAUGCGUAGAUAUGCGGAGGAACACCGAUGGCGAAGGCAAUCCCCUGGGCCUGCACUGACGCUCAUGCACGAAAGCGUGGGGAGCAAACAGGAUUAGAUACCCUGGUAGUCCACGCCCUAAACGAUGUCAACUGGUUGUUGGGAAGGUUCCUUCUCAGUAACGUAGCUAACGCGUGAAGUUGACCGCCUGGGGAGUACGGCCGCAAGGUUGAAACUUAAAUGAAUUGACGGGGUCAUAGCUGUUU